GGGGAGUGAAAUAGUACCUGAAACUGGAUGCCUACAAACAGUGGGAGGCCGCAAGGCUGACCGCGUACCUUUUGUAUAAUGGGUCAACGACUUAGUGCAGCAAGCAAGCUUAAGCCGAUAGGUGUAGGCGUAGCGAAAGCGAGUCUUAAUAGGGCGCCUAGUUUGUUGCAUUAGACCCGAAACCGAGUGAUCUAGCCAUGAGCAGGUUGAAGGUUGGGUAACACCAACUGGAGGACCGAACCCGCAUCUGUUGCAAUAGAUUGGGAUGACUUGUGGUUAGGGGUGAAAGGCCAAUCAAACUCGGAGAUAGCUGGUUCUCUGCGAAAUCUAUUUAGGUAGAGCGUCAUCCGAAUACCCCCGGGGGUAGAGCACUGGAUGGGUAAUGGGGCCCCACAGGCUUACUGAUCCUAACCAAACUCCGAAUACCGGGGAGUACUAGAUGGCAGACACACAGCGGAUGCUAACGUCCGUUGUGGAGAGGGAAACAACCCUGACCUACAGCUAAGGCCCCCAAUUCAUGGCUAAGUGGGAAAGCAGGUGGGACGACCAAAACAACCAGGAGGUUGGCUUAGAAGCAGCCAUCCUUUAAAGAUAGCGUAACAGCUCACUGGUCUAAAUAAGUUGUCCUGCGGCGAAGAUGUAACGGGGCUCAAGCCAUGAGCCGAAGCUUAGGAUGCACAUAGUGCAUGGUAGCAGAGCGUAGUG
rnacentral:rRNA from 1 species